rnacentral:rRNA from 1 species
UACGAAGGGGGCUAGCGUUGCUCGGAAUUACUGGGCGUAAAGGGCGCGUAGGCGGAUGUUUAAGUCAGAGGUGAAAGCUCAGGGCUCAACCUUGGAACUGCCUUUGAUACUGGGCAUCUUGAGUAUGGGAGAGGUGAGUGGAACUCCGAGUGUAGAGGUGAAAUUCGUAGAUAUUCGGAAGAACACCAGUGGCGAAGGCGACUCACUGGCCCAUUACUGACGCUGAGGCGCGAAAGCGUGGGGAGCAAACAGG